AAGACAAACCUACCAGUACCACCGUUAGCUGAACCCUGCUACAAUGCUACACUGUGGACAUGCUUGUUCAGUUAUGUCUGCUUCGACUCAGAAGAACACCAGACACCAGCUGAGAGACAAGGUUCCAGAUGGGUGGCAAUUCUCACAUUGGGCAAUUCGAGUUUAUGCAAUGAACCUGGUGGCAUCAUGGUCUAUAAAAUGACCGUGCUUGAAACACUGUUAGAUGGCAAUUCAUUUUCCUUUGCUCCUUCCUAACCGAUGGCUCCAUGACUCAUGCCAGGAUAUGUGGGUCACAGUGUCAAGACCACCGUGAUGGACAGAUGUUCAGCUGUGCAUUGAUGCCACGAUCUGCAGGGCAGCAUCAAACUGAAGGGCUGGACAGGCCACUGCUGGAGCCACUGGAUGCCCAGAGAAAUUAGGCCAGCACAGAUGAGACAGCCAUUAUACACUCCCUCACACUUCAAGUCUCCAUUUCCUAAGAGCUCGCCUCAGGGAGACUUGCAUCACUCCAUGAGCUCAGCAUGAAGCACACACUCCACCCUGCACACUGGGCCCAGGGAGAGCACGCAGCAGAGAGAGAUCCAAAUGUGUGUGUGUGUGUGUGUGUGUGUGUUUUAGCGCUCUGUGUUUAUUCUGUAACUAACACAAAUACUCCCACCCACUCACAGCCUGUGGACAGAAUAUGUGGCUUACACUGCAAAACAUCCUCUAAAUGUUUGCAGAACAUGGGACGCUUUUAUUUCUUUACAGCUGCACUUGGCUCGCCGUUUUGAGGAUUGAAAGUGUGGAUUUGUGGGACCGUUUAUGCUUCGGCUGAACCACUUUAAAUAAUUCAUCUGUGUUUAGGUACGUCAUGUGCCCUUCAAACAAGGAAAACCUACAGAAUUCUUAAUGCCAUCUGAACUUUCUACAAAUAAAAUGUUCGAAAAUUGCAUCCACGUGUG